UACGUAGGGGGCAAGCGUUGUCCGGAUUUAUUGGGCGUAAAGAGCUCGUAGGUGGUUCGGUAAGUCGGAUGUGAAAUCUCCAGGCUCAACCUGGAGGGGUCAUUCGAUACUGCCGUGACUAGAGUUCGGUAGGGGAGUGUGGAAUUCCUGGUGGAGCGGUGAAAUGCGCAGAUAUCAGGAGGAACACCCGUAGCGAAGGCGGCACUCUGGGAAGAUACUGACGCUGAGGUGCGAAAGCGUGGGGAGCAAACAGG
rnacentral:rRNA from 1 species